GUAUUGGACUACCAUGGCAGUCACGGGUAACGGAGAAUUAGGGUUCGAUUCCGGAGAAGGAGCCUGAGAAACGGCUACUACAUCUAAGGAAGGCAGCAGGCGCGUAAAUUACCCAAUCCUAAAUCAGGGAGGUAGUGACAAGAUAUAACAACGCGAUUAAAUGUCGCGAUUGUAGUGAGGGUAUUCUAAAAAUAGCUUCGAGUACGAUUGGAGGGCAAGUCUGGUGCCAGCAGCCGCGGUAAUUCCAGCUCCAAUAGCGUAUAUUAAAGUUGCUGCAGUUAAAAAGCUCGUAGUUGAACUUCAUGAGCAGUAGGUAGCUUACUACCUGCUCUCUACCAGUCUUUCGACUGUUACUGUGAGAAAAAUUAGAGUGUUUCAAGCAGGCUAUUGCAGGAAUACAUUAGCAUGGAAUAACGAAUGUACCUACAAUUUGGUUAAUUGUAGAUUACUAUUAAUA
rnacentral:rRNA from 1 species